CCCUGGGGGCAGGUCAGCCAUCCUAGGGACCCACCUGGAGCUUAUGGUUAUACCCAUCACACCUUAAGCCCCUAUGGACACGCCAACUGCCAGAGAUCCAUCCUGGAAACACUGGCCAGUCGGAGAGACGCACCAGCCUUCUUGUGCCCCAAUCAACAGCAGCCACCGGCCUCUUCUCACCAUCUCUGUUUCCAGCCCAGGGCUCUCACCACUGCCUGGCCUGCCUCACAUCCCCCACUGCUGCUGCAGAGGCUGAGCUUUCUAGGGACUCGUGAGCCAGAUGUGCUUGUGUGAGGGAAGGACAGAGGAGGAGUCCCAGACACAGCAACUUCUGCAAAGCCCGUAGAGGAAAGAUGAAGUGAGAAAAGCCAAGGAGCCAGAUGUGACCAGCCAGGAUGCCAGAAGACCGAGGAUGAAGGCUCCUGAAGGAAAGGCGAUGGGCUCUGAUGCAGAACGAGACCUACUUUGUUUGAGCCUGGCCAUGGUGAGGAUCUAAGGACAGAUACCUAGAGAGGAGGAGGAAGUAGCCCAAGGCUGGUGGCAGAGCCUGGACUGGAGCCC